rnacentral:lncRNA from 1 species
GUUCAAUAAACCACAUUAUGGGGACGAAAUUGUCAAGCUAGGAUUGAUAUCCACACCUUGAUGACUGGUUCCAUUCUUCGAUUUUCAAUCUCGUCAAAGUUUCGUAUUUUCGAUCGAAUUAGGGACAUGUAUUAACCAGAAGGGUAAAAUACCGCUACUCGCCUGUCGACGAGAGUAUUUUACCUAUUAGGCCAAAGCAUGCCUCCGUAAUUCGAAAGGACUUACGGGUCACUUUGGAAUAGUCGAAGUUUCUAAACCCGAAACGUUCCAAUAUUUUAUCAAACCCCUCUUUUAUGCUAUCUCAACAUUUAUGUGAUUUAAUACUUGUUAUCUCGUUCAUUUCAAAACCAAUGUUAUACUAAAAUCGAAUUAUCAUCCAACCAUUCAAUACAUACAUACUAAUAGUUAUACUUGGUUCGGGAUUACUGGGUGAUUCUUAUGUGAUAAACUUGUCAUUAACUUUGAUCAAAGCCACAACUUAACAUGUAUAGCGCUUGUGUAGCGCUAUAGGAGUAGCGCCCGCCCGUAUUCUUGAGGUCAUGUUAAGACAUUUUGCGCGCUAUAGGAGUAGCGCCCGCCCGUAUUCUUGAGGUCAUGUUAAGACAUUUUGCGGUACACGAUGGAUUGACCUGUUUAUUCGCAUGCCAGUAAUGCGUUAAUCUUGAUUAACUAAAGUAUGUCGUGUGGAUUGUUCAAUGAUUUUUUUUUACAUAUGCUAAUGCUAGUUAUACUUGAUUCGGGAUUUCUGGAACAUUCUUAUGUGAUAAACCUGUCAUUAACUUCGCAAGAAGCCACACCUUAACAUGUAUAGCGCUUGU